UCAAGCGAACAAGGGCGCAGGGCGAAUGCCUUGGCACUGGGAGCCGAUGAAAGACGUGAUAAGCUGCGAUAAGCUUCGGGGAGCUGCAAAUAAGCAUUGAUCCGGAGAUUUCUGAAUGAGGAAACUCACCUGGGUUCAUACUCAGGUACGUUAUACUGAACUUAAAAAUAGGUAUAUCGAGGGAACCGCCUGAACUGAAACAUCUAAGUAGGGCGAGGAAGAGACAUCAAACGAGAUUCCGUAAGUAGUGGCGAGCGAACGCGGAAGAGGGCAAACCGGGAGUAGAAAUACUUCCGGGGUACGGACUGCUUUUAGGACUUAAUCUGUUAACCGAACGGCAUGGGAAGGCCGGUCAGAGAGUGUGAGAACCACGUAGGUGAAAACGGAGAGAGCUGCGCAGGAUCCAGAGUACGGCCAGACACGUGAAACCUGGUCGGAAUAUGGGGGGACCACCCUCCAACCCUAAAUACUACCCAGUGACCGAUAGCGUAUAGUACUGUGAAGGAAAGGUGAAAAGCACCCCGGGAGGGGAGUGAAAAAGAACCUGAAACCCUGUGCCUACAAGCACCUAGAGCACGUCAAUGUGUGAUAGGGUACUUUUUGUAGAACGGUCCGGCGAGCGAUUGUAUGCAGCAAGGUUAAGGACUUAAGGUCUGGAGCCGAAGCGAAAGCGAGUUUGAAAAGGGCGUUAAGUUGCAUACAAUGGGCCCGAAACCGGGUGACCUACCCAUGGUCAGGUUGAAGUGGAAGUAAAAUUCCAUGGAGGACCGAACCGACCUCCGUUGAAAAGGCGGCGGAUGAACUGUGGGUAGCGGAGAAAUUCCAAUCGAACCCGGAGAUAGCUGGUUCUCCCCGAAAUAGUUUUAGGACUAGCCUCAAGUUAGAUACCUGGAGGUAAAGCACUGAAUAGCCUAGCGGCCGAGAGGUUAGCGAAGCUUAUCAAACUCAGAAUGCCAGAGUAUUGAUGCUUGGGAGUCAGACAGUGUCAGAUAAAUGUCAUUGUCAAAAGGGAAACAGCCCAGAUCUACAGCUAAGGUCCCAAAGUCAGGUUAAGUGGAAAACGAUGUGAAGAUACGUAGACAACCAGGAUGUUGGCUCAGAAGCAGCCACACAUUCAAAGAGUGCGUAAUAGCUCACUGGUCGAGCGUCUUUGCGCGGAGAAUUUAACGGGGCUAAACCUGACACCGAAGCUUAGGCAAUACAGCAAUGUAUUGGGUAGGGGAGCGUUGUAUACGCGGUGAAACAGUAGCGCAAGCGGCUGUGGAGUGUAUAGAAGUGAGAAUGCCGGAAUGAGUAGCGCGAAUGCAGUGAGAAUCUGCAUGGCCGAAAGCCUCAGGUUUCUGGAGGAAGGUUCGUCCGCUCCAGGUUAGUCGGGAGCUAAGGUGAGGCCUAACGGCGUAGCCGAUGCACAGACGGUAGAGAUUCCGUCACCACCAAAAGAGUUAAACACAGGGACACAUUUGAAGUCUCGGAGCCGGGUGUUGGUUCCGGUAGCGAUCGAGGGAAGUUAGUACCGAAGUCCGGGAUGGAAGAUGGCGAGAAAAGCUGUGUGUAUUUCUGCGGUGCCCGUACCGCAAACCGACACAGGUAGGUAGGAAGAAGAUUCUAAGGCCAACGGGAGAAGGGUUGUUAAGGAACUCGGCAAAUUGACCCCGUAACUUCGGGAGAAGGGGUGCUCCAGAGAUGGAGCCGCAGAGAAUCGGCCCAAGCAACUGUUUACCAAAAACACAGGUUUGUGCUAAAUCGAAAGAUGACGUAUACGAGCUGACGCCUGCCCGGUGCUGGAAGGUUAAGAGGAGAUGUGCAAGCAUUGAAUCGAAGCCCCAGUGAACGGCGGCCGUAACUAUAACGGUCCUAAGGUAGCGAAAUUCCUUGUCAGGUAAG
rnacentral:rRNA from 1 species